GACGAACGCUGGCGGCAUGCCUAACACAUGCAAGUCGAACGAGACCUUCGGGCCUAGUGGCGCACGGGUGCGUAACGCGUGGGAAUCUGCCCUUUGCUUCGGAAUAACACAGAGAAAUUUGUGCUAAUACCGGAUAAUGUCGCAAGACCAAAGAUUUAUCGGCAAAGGAUGAGCCCGCGUAAGAUUAGGUAGUUGGUGGGGUAAUGGCCUACCAAGCCGACGAUCUUUAGCUGGUCUGAGAGGAUGAUCAGCCACACUGGGACUGAGACACGGCCCAGACUCCUACGGGAGGCAGCAGUGGGGAAUAUUGGACAAUGGGCGAAAGCCUGAUCCAGCAAUGCCGCGUGAGUGAUGAAGGCCUUAGGGUUGUAAAGCUCUUUUACCCGGGAUGAUAAUGACAGUACCGGGAGAAUAAGCUCCGGCUAACUCCGUG
rnacentral:rRNA from 1 species